GCUGCACACUGUUAAAGCUUGAUGCUGAGGUCAGUUUCUGGCCGAUGAGCUCUCAAGUGUCGGAAGUGUGCUACAGCAAACCAGAUGGCAGGGUUUUCGCUAACACCAGGAGAGGAGCUUCCUCUACGAUUGGCGUUUGAUAGUAGUCCUUGCCACAUGC
ensembl:snoRNA SNORA62 Small nucleolar RNA SNORA62/SNORA6 family